UUUGUAAAUUAUGGUGGAAAAUAAGUAUUUGCUCAAUAACAAAAUUCAACUCAGAGGUUUUGGCUUAAAAUAUCACGAUACGUGGCCCCAUUCAUUCUUUCCUUAACACGGCUCAGUCAUCCUGUCCCCUUUGCAGAAAAACAGCCUUAAAGCAUGAUGUUUCCACCCCCAUGCUUCACAGUAGAUAUGGUGUUCUUGGAAUGCAAUGCAGCAUUCUUCUUCCUCCAAACAC